UGGGGAAUAUUGCACAAUGGGCGCAAGCCUGAUGCAGCCAUGCCGCGUGUGUGAAGAAGGCCUUCGGGUUGUAAAGCACUUUCAGCGAGGAGGAAGGGUAGUGUGUUAAUAGCACAUUGCAUUGACGUUACUCGCAGAAGAAGCACCGGCUAACUCCGUGCCAGCAGCCGCGGUAAUACGGAGGGUGCAAGCGUUAAUCGGAAUUACUGGGCGUAAAGCGCACGCAGGCGGUUUGUUAAGUCAGAUGUGAAAUCCCGCGCUAACGUGGAACUGCAUUG
rnacentral:rRNA from 1 species